GACAAGGCUAACUUUAAAGCCCCACCCACCACAGUCUGUGCUGCACUGAGUCUAUGAAAGGUUUUCUGCUGGGAUUUCUGGCCUCAAGAGGAAGCUAGUGUCCAUUUUGUUUUAACUAUGGCCACUAGUCAAACUUGUUCAAGCUUAGAUAUUAGUGAAUUGGGUUUUGUUCUUGAGUUAUUGGAGAAAUGUUGCUUCUCAGAAACUAAAUGGUAUAAGCUGGGGCUAAGACUAGGACUAAGGAAGAAUACACUGGACCUUAUUGAAAAGAAUCAUCCUCAUGAUGUAUCUCGUUGUAUGACAGAGUGCCUCUCCCAAUGGUUAGGUAGAGCUGAUAAUGUUGACAGUAGAGGAGGAGCCAACUUGGACUCACUGUCAGAUGCUCUAGGAUCUAUGAAUGAA